AAGGCUCACUGGAAGACUGAAGGCUGCAGAGUGUAGCAAUUCAUCAUAAAUAAUUGCCAGCAAAUACAUGGCAAUAAUGGCUGACCGUGCCAAGCAAGGUUAUUGGAUAGCCCUGGAGAUUUCAGCUAGAGAGAUUCAUCAGGGCUGGGAAUGCUACAAGAGCUAGGGAACAUCAUCUGGAGGAAAUACGGGGGAAAAGGAAAAAAGAUGGUCUGCACAGUCUGAUAGCAGAGGAAAACCUGAAUGUCCUUCAGCUGUGGCAUGGCCAGCUCUUCCAUGAUCUCCAUGGAGGAACAUCACAUCCAUUGCUGGACAUCACAUCCAGGAGAGCAUCUCGAUCCCAUUCCCAUCUGCAUCCCAUGGUGCAAGUGGCUCUUUGAUGCAGUAGAUCUCAGCAUCCAGGGUUGGAGACACAAGACCUGAUUUUGCACUCGAGGCAAAGCCUUCGAGCCAGGGCAGCUGCUUCAUCUAAAAUCUUUAAUGCAAAGCAGAGCUUUGGGACAGAUCCGUGCCUGGGGCUGAGAGAUGCGUCUUGCUGGCAGACAGAGCCGUUGCGGGCUGGGCCCUCUUGCUGAAGGGUCAUUUAAUUUGGAACUUGCUGCUCUGUCAGGGCCUAGAGCCACCAAUCCCCUGGGCACAGUGAGAUCCAUCUGUUUACCAAGCUCUGCACGUCCAGGGCAUGACAAGGAACUUGGCCGGGCUGGGCCGAGCGGGCUGGUUUGAAUCUUGCCUCUUUCUUGUGGGAUUGUGUCGGGGGAGAAGUGAAUCCAGAGAUGGGCUUUGAUGCUGGCACUCGUUGGCAGCAUGCUGCAAAUGUGGACGGGUGGUUCCCGCGCUGCAAAUGUGCUGUGGGCAUGGGCAGCGGGCACAGCGACACUCAAAUAAAUUAAAUAUUUCUCAGGAAUGGGGUGGGGACGUCAACAAAACCUCUGCCUUAUGCAAUUGCCGCCAGCACUACAACAGAUUCAAAGCAGCUGCUGUUGGCUUUCCCUCUUUGCUUUCAUAAAGCGGUUGU